CAGCCGCCGCGGGAAUACGUAGGGUGCGAGCGUUAAUCGGAACUACUGGGCGUAAAGGACGCGUAGGCGGAUUAUCAAGUCUCUUGUGAAAUCUAACGGCUUAACCGUUAAACUGCUUGGGAAACUGAUAAUCUAGAGUAAGGGAGAGGCAGAUGGAAUUCUUGGUGUAGGGGUAAAAUCCGUAGAGAUCAAGAAGAAUACCCAUUGCGAAAGCGAUCUGCUGGAACUUAACUGACGCUAAUGCGUGAAAGCGUGGGGAGCAAACAGGAUUAGAUACCCCCGUAGUCCCUGUCUCUUAUAA
rnacentral:rRNA from 1 species